rnacentral:lncRNA from 1 species
CCUCAGAGAGGCAAUGUAGUUAGAUUUUGAGGACACCGAGUCAGGCUGCCUGCUGUGUUUGCCUUCUUGUUCUACCACUUAGAGUUCUGUGAUCUUGAGUAAGUUACUUAGCUUCUCCUUGCCUCAAUUUCCCCAUCUGUUAAAUGGGAAUAAUAAUAGUAUGUGCCUACCUCAUAAGGUUGUCAUGAGGAUUAAAUAAGAUGAUAAAUACAAAAUGCUUAGAAGAGAGGCUGGCAUGGGCCGGGCAUGGUGGCUGAUGCCUGUAAUCCCAGCACUUGGGGAGGCCGAGGUGGGCGGAUCACGAGGUCAGGAGUUCGAGACCAGCUUGGCCAACAUGGUAAAACCCCAUCUCUACUAAAAAUACAAAAAUUAGCCGGGUGUGGUGGCGGGCACCUGUAAUCCCAGCUACUCAGGAGGCUGAGGCAGGAGAAUUGCUUGAACCCAGGAGGCAGAGGUUGCAGUGAGCUGAGAUCACACCACUGCACUCCAGCCUGGGUGACAGAGCAAGACUCUGUCUCGAGAAAUAAAUAAAUAAAUAAAUAAAUAAAUAAAUCUGAAAAGAAUCUCAUGGAUUUAGCCCAACCUCUCAUUUUAUAGGAGAAAUAGAAGCCCAGAGAGGUAAUAAAGUUUGUUGACAGCCUCCCCUGACUAUGCUAGUCCUUUUUUCCUGUACAGCACAGCCUCUGCUUUUAGCUCAGGCUAACUUAAAGAGACCUUUGAAAGCUGGGCAUAAGAGUUUACAGCAUAUGAGGGAGGAAAAGAGGCGACCUCUGCGGGUUUGUGAACCAGGAUGUAAUAUGAAGGCAGUGUGUAAGGAAAAUGAAUGUGGUAGCACGAAGUGGGAUGAAUUGGAGCAGCAAGUCCAUAGUCAGAAAAGCUUGCAAGGAAGGGAAAUAUGAUAAUGAAGCAAAUUGUAAAAAUGGGCAGAGUUAUUCUCCCUCCGUUCAUGACCCUACAAUGUGACAAGGCAGAUCCUCCCAUUAAGAGGCAGAGUUGGCCGGGUGCGGUGGCUCACGCCUGUAAUCCCAGCACUCUGGGAGGCGGAGUGGGUGGAUCACCUGAACCAGAAUGGCCAGCAUGGAGAAAUCCUGUCUCUACUAAAGAUACAAAACAUUAGCAGGGCGUGGUGGCGGGUGCCUGUAAUCCCAGCUACUCGGGAGACUGAUGCAGAAGAACUGCUUGAACUCGGGAGGCAGAGGUUGCAGUAAGCCAAGAUCGCACCACUGCAUUCCAGCCUGGGCGACAGAGUGAGGCUCUGUCUAAAAAAAAAAAGAGGCAGAGUUUAUUUAUUCCUCCACCUGCUGGACCUGGGUUGGCUGUGUGACUUGUUCUAGAUAAUGGAAUGUUCGCAAAGGUGAUCUAGCAGAGGUCUGCAAAGCACCUGUGCACUGGGCUUGCCCUCUUGCUACACUUGGACCUGUUCUGCCCCCAUGUAAAUGAGUCCAAUCUAGUCUACUGGAUGGUGAGACCCUGUCCCAGCUGGCCACAGAUGAACAAAUUGCUCAGGCAAGACUAGAAGAACUGCCCUUCUGAGCCCGGCCCCAAACUAGCGACCACAGACUCACAGGAUAAAUAAAUGGUUAUUGUUUCAAGCCACUGUGUUUUCUGGUGGUGUGUUAUUACCCAGAAAAAGCUAACUGAUACGUUCAGGCAUGAGUCUGGGAGAUCACAGUAUAAUGGGAGCAGAAGGAACAACUGGGGGGAUACAUCAUAGGAAAACAAUCAGUAACAUUUGGGGACUGGCUAGAUAUGGCUUCACAUUAGUGGUGAAAGGAUGUAUUGAAGGAUAUUCUAUAAGAAGGGAACUGCACGGUGGCUCAAACCUACAAUCCCAGCACUUUGGGAGGCUGAGGCUUGCGGACCACUUGAGCUCAGGAGUUUGAGACCAGCCUGGGCAAUAUGGUGAAACCCCAUCUGUACCAAAAUUACAAAAAAUCCAAAAAUUAGCCGGGUGUGGUGGUGCGUUCCUGUAGUCCCAGCUACUUGGGAGGCUGAGGUGGAAGGAUCGCUUGAACCCAGGAGGCAGAAGUGCAGUGAGCCAAGAUCACGCCACGACACUCCAGCCUGGGCGACAGAGGGAGACCCUGUCUCAAAAAAAAAAAAAAAAACGGAAGAAGAAGAAGAGGGAAUUAAGAUACCCCCCAAAAUCAUUAAAUA